rnacentral:rRNA from 1 species
CAGCAGCCACGGUAAUACGUAGGUGGCAAGCGUUGUCCGGAAUUAUUGGGCGUAAAGGGCUCGCAGGCGGUUUCUUAAGUCUGAUGUGAAAGCCCCCGGCUCAACCGGGGAGGGUCAUUGGAAACUGGGAAACUUGAGUGCAGAAGAGGAGAGUGGAAUUCCACGUGUAGCGGUGAAAUGCGUAGAGAUGUGGAGGAACACCAGUGGCGAAGGCGACUCUCUGGUCUGUAACUGACGCUGAGGAGCGAAAGCGUGGGGAGCGAACAGGAUCAGAUACCCCUGUAGUCCCUGUCUCUUAUAC